rnacentral:rRNA from 1 species
AACGAACGCUGGCGGCAUGCCUAACACAUGCAAGUCGAACGAACCCUUCGGGGUUAGUGGCGCACGGGUGCGUAACGCGUGGGGAUCUGCCCUUUGCUUCGGAAUAACAGUUAGAAAUGACUGCUAAUACCGGAUGAUGUCGCAAGACCAAAGAUUUAUCGGCAAAGGAUGAACCCGCGUAGGAUUAGCUAGUUGGUGAGGUAAAGGCUCACCAAGGCGACGAUCCUUAGCUGGUCUGAGAGGAUGAUCAGCCACACUGGGACUGAGACACGGCCCAGACUCCUACGGGAGGCAGCAGUGGGGAAUAUUGGACAAUGGGCGAAAGCCUGAUCCAGCAAUGCCGCGUGAGUGAUGAAGGCCCUAGGGUUGUAAAGCUCUUUUACCAGGGAUGAUAAUGACAGUACCUGGAGAAUAAGCUCCGGCUAACUUCGUGCCAGCAGCCGCCGCGG